rnacentral:ncRNA from 1 species
AACGUAAGUUAGUAAGACUCCUGGAAGACCACCAGGUUGAUAGGUGAGGGGUGUAAGCAUGGUAACAUGUUCAGCUGACUCAUACUAAUAAGUCGAGGGCUUGAUCUA